rnacentral:misc_RNA from 1 species
AACCAUAGAAACCUGCGGAGUACCUGCGGAAGGAUCAUUACAGAGUUGCAAAACUCCCUAAACCAUUGUGAACGUUACCUAAACCGUUGCUUCGGCGGGCGGCCCGGGUCCUUCCCGGCGCCCAUCGGCCCUCGCGGGCGCCCGCCGGAGGUAAACCAAACUAUUGCAUUGUAUGGCCUCUCUGAGUCUUCUGUACUGAAUAAGUCAAAACUUUCAGCAACGGAUCUCAGAUCGGAAGAG